GUACUGGGAAGGAAAUGGGAGGGACUGGGAUGGACUGGGAGGGAUUGGGAGCAGAUUGGGAUGGACUGGGAUCAAACUGGGAGGGACUGGGAGCGGCAUCAGUGAGUGACUGGGAUAUACUGGGAUAUACUGGGAUAUACUGGGAUGUACUGGGAUAUACUGGGAUGGACUGGGAGGAGACUGGGAGGGAACUGGGAGGGACUGGGAUAUACUGGGAUAUACUGGGAUGGACUGGGUUAUACUGGGAGGGAUGGGGGGGACUGGGAGAGAACUGGGACAACCCUGGGAGUGACCCCUGAGUGACCCCUGAGUGCCCAGUGACCCCGAGUGACCCCGUGCCCCUUUGGUGACCCCCAGGGGGGCGGAGCUUAUUCCAACGUGACGCUGCGGGGGCGGGGCCAGGACCACGGGGCGGCGCUGGUGUGCGAGGCCGAGACCCCCGGGGUGGGGACGCGGAGCGUGAGCGUGGCGGUCAGCGUGAGCCACCCGCCCCAGGCUCUCUGGGUGGAGGCCCCGCCCCCCAACACCACCUUCCGGGUGGGGGAGGGGCUGCGGCUGCUGUGCCACGCCCGGGGGGGGCACCCGGCCCCCAAACUCACCUGGAGCAAGGACGGCCGCCCCCUCCCGGAAGCCCCGCCCCAGAGCCGCUCGGGUCACGUGACCUCGCGCGCGCUGCACGUGACGCUCGCGCCCGCCGACAACGGCGCCGACUUCCGGUGCGAGGCCCCGCCCACCCGCCAGGGCGCCCCGCCCACCCGGAGCGCCCCCGUGCGGCUGAACGUGAUGUUUCCAGCCCAGUCCGUCUCCAUCUCGGUGUCCCCUCGGGAGCCCCCCCCCGGCCACGCCCUCUCGGUCACGUGCCGCGCUGGCCCCGCCCACCCGGCCCCGGAGCUCACCUGGAUCCGGCCCGGCCACGCGUGAGCACCAGUAUAAACCAGUAUAGACCAGUGACCUUCCAGGAACACGACUGACCUCCCAGUAUAAACCAGUUACCCAUGAGAGCUUUCCCAGU
rnacentral:lncRNA from 14 species